UACAGAGGUGGCAAGCGUUGUUCGGAAUUACUGGGCGUAAAGGGCGCGUAGGCGGCCUUCUAAGUCAGACGUGAAAUCCCCCGGCUUAACCUGGGAACUGCGUCUGAUACUGGGAGGCUAGAGUAUGGGAGAGGGAUGUAGAAUUCCAGGUGUAGCGGUGAAAUGCGUAGAUAUCUGGAGGAACACCGGUGGCGAAGGCGGCGUCCUGGACCAACACUGACACUGAGGAGCGAAAGCCAGGGGAGCAAACGGG
rnacentral:rRNA from 1 species